rnacentral:lncRNA from 1 species
CUGGGCACAUCAUCUUGGAGAAAUGAACUCUAUGCCUAAAGAAAACAAUUCUAUUUUUAGAAUUCUUCAUGCUGAACCCCUUCAGCACUUUCUCUAUGUACAUUUUCUAUGAGAGAUGAAGCACCAUCUUAGAUUUAUCUCUAUAGAUCUUUAUUCUAGAAUACAGGAUGCUUCUCCUAGAUCUUUCAUGAAGAAUUCAUUUGACAACCAGACCUUAACCG